GUCUGAAAAAAAACGUAUGCAAAAACAUCUGCGUCAAAAAAGUAAAAAUAGCAAUAUAAGUUUCCUUGGCACAUUUUGUGUGACUGUGAUUGUUUUUUU
rnacentral:ribozyme from 16 species